rnacentral:lncRNA from 1 species
UCCGUAUAAAGUCAUAACCAAAAUUCUCAAAAGAAGAACAAUCAGCAUGGUAUGGGAAUGAAACAAUUAGCACCAAGAAUCAAAGUAAAAGGACGCGGAGCACAUAGAAAAACACGCAAGUAGGCAAACGUAGGUACAAGCAUGUACGGUUAGGGGUUUUCAUCAAAUUUUAACACAAUUCUUAGAAGUAGUACUGAAAACCAGGGAUUAAUGCUAAGGACUAGGAGAAUAGAUUACUUUAGAUAGGGGUCAUGAAACCCUAGAAAUAGAAACUGCAGUGUAAAACCCAACUCUUCGAAGUAACCAAACAACCCAGUCAUCAAAGAAACAAACAAACAAACCAGUAAAAUAAAUAACCCAACGACUAUAUGGCACUCAGAAACUGUAGAGGAACAGUUUUGAAGAAAAGGUUAGAAACCCUUGUCUAGAAGAGUCAAAUUUUUUUUGAAGUACUCCAAGAAACUAAGUAGAUGUAGAGUAGAAAACAAGGAAAUCAAACUGAAAGUCAUUUAAAGAGGCGAGAUUAAAGAGAAAAAUUUGGGUUUUCAAACAGAUUAUAGAAACGAAGAACCUGGCUAUGAAACUCGCAUACGAUGCCCUAGAACAUGGGUUUUCAAACAGAUUAUAGAAACGAAGAACCUGGCUGUGAAACUCGCAUGCGAUGCCGUAGAAGGCAUCCUCGUUCAAGGAUUAUCGGAAAAACACCGGAAACAUUCCUCAAAAGAGAGCUUCAGUCCCCGUCCUCCAUGUCGGAAGUUGCUAGGCUUCAAGCUUGAGAGAAGACUAUGAUACAGGGACGCCAUGGUUGCUGGGAAUCAAGAGGAGUGAGGGAGGAGUAAGUAAAUGUGGCAAUGGAGGCCAUGGGAGAACCAGAAGGUUCUAGAGAACAUCUGUGAGUGAAAGGGGGAUACAAGGGC